GAUCGCCGGGAGGAAUGCUUCACAGAUGGAAGAAUAUCCAUCUUCUUCUUUGGCCCACGGACGGUUGCUGGAUCCGUGAUGAACGCGGACGGGCUGAUGCGGAAGGAAGGCGCUGGGAUCUCGAAUCCGGCUCGGCCGCGAUGCUGGGAGCUGAGAUUUGCUGGCUGUGAACGCGUUGAUGGCGUGGAGGCUGGGAUUCCGGCUCGGGAUGAUUCCUUCUUUGGACCUUGGUUGAGAGGCGGGCUGGUGCGGAAGAGAGGUUUCCUUCUUUGGGUCAAUGGAUUGGGGCGUUCAUGGCAUGGGAAUCACUGGGCAGGUAUCGCGGAGGAAGCGGUGCGGGAUCUGGCACGCGGUGGAACGGGAGAUGGACAGCCGCUGGAAGCUUCCUACUUCCUUCUUUCAUUCUUUAGCACGGGGUGAAGCUGGAAUGUGCUGGGAUGCU
rnacentral:lncRNA from 1 species